CCAAACACCACACCUUUGUUCCACCCUUACACCAACACCUUAACCCACCAUCUCCACCACCGCCGGCCACCUUAUCUCGCCGGAAAAAGGGUCCGGUCGGCCACUCCUUAAAUCCAUCCGAAAAUAACACAAUAGAAGCACCAACUCUAGAUUUUUUCUUAAUCUUUUGAAGAAUCAAAGCAUGGGGUUUAUUUUCUUGAUGGAUUAGAGGCUUGUAAUUGGAUUGGAGGAAGGCAUCUCCACACCUCUUGGGAAUUAAUUUGUAGAGUCUCAAUCUACGCUUUUGCUAUUUUUGGAGAUUCAUAGACUUUUGUGUGGCUCGCCUCAACUUGGAAGACUAGAAUUUUUUUGAAGGAUCAAAGGCGCGUAUGGCAAGGCGAAAAGUUCAUAAGAGUCGCCCCCUUAUGGAAGUACUUGAGGCUGAGCGAGAGCCACAUCUUCGUGUUGGAAAUGAAGUUCCAC